UCCACGCAGUAAACGAUGAAUGUUAGUCGUUGGGUCUCUAGUAGAUUCAGUGAUGCAGUUAACACAUUAAACAUUCCGCCUGGGGAGUACGGUCGCAAGAUUAAAACUCAAAGGAAUAGACGGGGACCCGCACAAGUGGUGGGGCAUGUGGUUUAAUUCGAAGAUACGCGAAGAACCUUACCUAGCCUUGACAUUGAUAGAACACAGUAGAGAUACAGUGGUCCCGGGGGCGA
rnacentral:rRNA from 1 species